rnacentral:tRNA from 1 species
GCCAGCGUAGCUCAGCGGCAGAGCAGGCGCUUCGUAAGCGUCAGGUCGAGGGUUCGAAUCCCUCCGCUGGCU